ACUCCUACGGGAGGCAGCAGUGGGGAAUAUUGCACAAUGGAGGAAACUCUGAUGCAGCAACGCCGCGUGGAGGAUGACGCAUUUCGGUGUGUAAACUCCUUUUAUAUAGGAAGAUAAUGACGGUACUAUAUGAAUAAGCACCGGCUAACUCCGUGCCAGCAGCCGCGGUAAUACGGAGGGUGCAAGCGUUACUCGGAAUCACUGGGCGUAAAGCGCAUGCAGGCGGUCCAAUAAGUUAGAAGUGAAAUCCUAUGGCUCAACCAUAGAACUGCUUCUAAAACUAUUAGACUGGAGUCUGGGAGGGGAAGAUGGAAUUAGUAGUGUAGGGGUAAAAUCCGUAGAGAUUACUAGGAAUACCAAAAGCGAAGGCGAUCUUCUGGAACAGUACUGACGCUGAGAUGCGAAAGCGUGGGGAGCAAACAGGAUUAGAUACCCUGGUAGUCCACGCAGUAAACGAUGAAUGUUAGUCGUUGGGUCUCUAGUAGAUUCGGUGAUGCAGUUAACACAUUAAACAUUCCGCCUGGGGAGUACGGUCGCAAGAUUAAAACUCAAAGGAAUAGACGGGGACCCGCACAAGUGGUGGAGCAUGUGGUUUAAUUCGAAGAUACGCGAAGAACCUUACCUAGCCUUGACAUUGAGAGAAUCCGACAGAGAUGUUGGAGUGCCUUCGGGAGCUUGAAAACAGGUGCUGCACGGCUGUCGUCAGCUCGUGUCGUGAGAUGUUGGGUUAAGUCCCGCAACGAGCGCAACCCUCGUUCUUAGUUACUAACGAUUCGGUCGAGGACUCUAAGAAGACUGCCUUCGCAAGGAGGAGGAAGGUGAGGACGACGUCAAGUCAUCAUGGGCCCUUACGGCUAGGGCAACGCACGUGCUACAAUGGUUAGGACAAUGAGAAGCAAUACUGCGAGGUGGAGCAAU
rnacentral:rRNA from 1 species